UAACCUUUACUUUCAAGCUUUAUUUUUAAUGCAAUUUAUUUUUAUUAUCAUUUGUCAUUGUACAUAUCAUUCUAAUUAUUUAUGUUUAUGCAAUUUUCACUUUGUCCACUUGGACCAUAUUGUGUGAUAUACUUUGUUGCCUUGUUUGUUUGUUUGGUCUUUGACCAUUAAUGCACAUAAUAAUGACAAGAACCCUAAACGACAAUUUGAGUGGACUGUUGCUUUGAU
rnacentral:lncRNA from 1 species